CAAAAGUUGUGGCCUGUCCGUCAGGAGUUAGCGACAAGGAGGGCCGCGGCCUUGGGUUCAGUGGCGGGGCGGAAGCGGCCAGUUCAGGGCCUCAGGGGACAGUGGGGGAAAUGGCAGAGGAGACUCCAGGGGGUGGGGAUGCCAAUGCCAGGACGAGGAGGGUUAAAGAGGAGCCUAGGUCUGGGGGGAGCUGUGGUGGGGACAGUUGCCCUGAGGGUUCCCGCGGUGACCCCGGGGAGGACGGCCCUUCAGCCGCUGCCUUCUGGGGAAGGGGAACUUGACCUCUGGGAGGGCGCUGCUCUGCGUGGCCCCCGGGGCCCCAGCGCCUUGGUUUGUGUGGCAGGAGGAAGGCGGGUAGAAGCCAGGGGAGACGGGAUCUCGCCGCUCUUCUGUGGAGGAAGCAGCAUUGGGCAGUUGAUGCCCCGGGAAUGAGGAGGAGGAAGGAAGGCAGUGGGGUGCAGGGCUGCAGGUGGGCUGCUGGCAUGGCAGACCUUGAACUUGCCAAUGCCAGCAGCCACCCCCCCCCCCCUUUUUUUUCAGAGGGUUGCGAACCCGCGAGGGGAUGAGGCCUGGUCUUGUGGAAACUGAACUUAGCUUCGCGGGCCGACAGCUCUGGCCUAGGGUAGUGUGUAAUGUUGGUUCGGCUUGGGACAGAGUCCAGGCCAUGCCCAGCCUGGUGGAACCCAGGUCUGGGUGUGAGGCCAGACCCCUCAUUGGAGGGGAGGGUGGUCUCAAGAGUGAUUGAGGAGGUAAGGUGCCACCUAAGCGUUAUUGAUGUGGUGCCGCAUGUGACAGGCUGGGGAUUGCCGAGGCAGGAUGUUGGUGUGUCUGUGGACAAAAUUGACCCACGCUUUAUUUUCCAGGUGCCAGUGUUCCCAUUUGGACUUUUCUCUCUAGCUUCGGUGCUAACUUCUGUGAGCUCACUCUGCCCCUCCUCCUCCCUUUAGCUUUCUCAAGGUUAUCCAUUCACUUAAAGCAUUGCUUCUGGUAACCUGGUAAGCCUGGGAACGUUGCAGAAGGCCCCGAACAACUUGGUUGGUAAUCGUGAAGGAGGGAAGGCCCUCCUUGCUGAGACCCAGGGUGGGGUGGGGUGGUGUUGCUUGCCUGCGGAGAGGGUGGGGAUCGAAUGUAUACCUUGGGCGGGCCUGCAGCAGUGGCCCCCGCUGACGGUUACCAAAUGCCUCAUGGACCAUGGUUUGUUACUGUAGUGUUCAUCGUGGUGAUCAGAUGGCACCAGGAGAAUUGGAGCCCUUGGCCAGUGUGAGUCGUAGCAGUGCAGGAGGGGAGACCCUGAAGGAGAGAUCCCGCCUAAGUGGAUGUCUGCAGAUUGAAUUUCCAGAGUCUUAAGAGGUGGAAGUUCUCCUGUGUCCCGUUUCCAGGCCUUGCUCAGGAAGCCCUAUAUUCAGGAGGCCAUUUAAGGUUUUCAGAUGAGCUUAUGAGGGGGCAGUCCUUCAAGGUCCAAAGCAGAUGUGUCCGGCCACCCGCAGAUGUGUUUGAUUGAUCCAGGAGCAUCAACUUCCAGGCUCAUGAAUGCCAGCAGACACCCCUCCUUUUUUCUGAGGUGGAGGUUUUCAGAUGCUGCAUCUUCUAAAUUGAGCCCCCAGUCAUAACUAGUUCUGGGCUACGAAAUUUGAGCUUCAAGAAGAAUCUUAAAAGCUGUAGGACAUUCUAACAUGCCUCAACGCAGAGUGAUGCCUUGUAGGUGAAUCUUGCAGAUGGAGCCCAGUGACCCUCUCACCUACCCUGCUUCUCGCCUGCCUACCUGCCCUGCCCGCCUGUGCAUUGUUUGGAGGAAUUAGUGUUCUAGUCUAACCUGUAUUUUGGGAACGUGUUCACAUUUGAAAUGCUUUAGGCAAUACUUAUGCAUACUGGCAAAUUGGGGGAGGGGAAUCGUGUUUUGCUGCUACAGUCUUGGGUAUAAGUUGGUUGUGGCCAAAUUGUUAGAAAUGACAGGUCUAUUUUGGGCAUUCCAAUUGCAUUGCAGAUAAUAAGCAAAGGGAAUGGUUGGGGUACUACCAGUGAUCUUUAGUUCUAUGUAUUUUGUAAUGUGAAUUUAAUUUCUAGGUAAUCUUAAUGGAGAACUCCGAGGUGAGGGUUGGGCUGCCAUUGGUGCUGGGAGGGGUGGGGGUGAGGAAAGGGAGAGGGUUGGUUUGGUUAGCUGUGCUGCAGAGGGUGGGGGUGGUAGGACAUGUGGAUUGAAGGGAAUUCUUGCGAAAAGGUCAAGUAGAGCUCUGGGCAUUUGAAUGUAAUAGACAACUGGGCAAAGAAAAGUAGUUAAUGCUAGUUGUCUCUUGGAAGCAUAAAAAUUGCUUAGAAACUUAAGUCCUUUGGAAAUCUGCUAAAUGCAGGUAAAGAAGCAAAGUUGUUUUGCUGUAAAGUAGGGAAGACUGAAAAAAAUGUAACCGAACAGGAAUGCCAGUCAUUAAAGGCGGGGUGCAGAAAUUCCCAUCAGCUGAGUAAUAGCCUUCACUGCUUCGUUAGGUUCUUCAGUGGUUUAUGUGAAGGUGUGCAGUACUGGGGAGCAGCUAGAGGUCUUAGGGAAAGACUUCACAAUUGGGUAUUUAAAGUAUUUAAAACAAAAAAAUAUUUAAAACAGUUCAAAUUUUUGGUGUGCACUUGAGAUUAGAUGUACUUGUGGGUCUGUAACAUUUCUAUUUACUCAAGAUUUUGUGAUUGAAAAUUCUGAACAACGUGAAAAUGCAAUGACUUUUAAAGGAAUCUUACACAUCUCAUCUUUGGUCUGUAUUGGCAGCAGUAAAAAAAAGUCUUGCUAUUCUUGUAAUGGUUUCUGUAAAAUUACUGUAAUAUUUGGUAGCAAACCAUGUGCCCUUGUGAUGGUUGGAGUUAAUUAUAUAUUGUGCCUUUUAAAUUGAUUCAGUGUUUGAGGGGCAACUCAAUUUGGGGAAUUAGCAAAGUGGAGGGGGACCUGUACUCAGAUGUGGUCUGUUAAAAAUUCAGAGAAAAACCUGAAAACCAUUUAUGAUGACUUUUAUUUCCGAGAUGCAUCUAUUGAAUUGGUAAAGUAAUACUGGUAACUUUUUUUUUUUUAAUAAUGUUUAUCAUUGCAGUGCUGCAUUUUUUUUAAGUUUUUAUUUAUUCAUGAGAGACAGAGAGAGGGGGGUGGGCAGAGGGAGAAGCAGGCUCCAUGCAGGGAGCCCAACCUGGGACUCCGUCCAGGGUCCCUAGGAUCAAACGCCGGGCUGCAGGCGGCGCCAAACCGCUGCGCCAUUGGGGCUGCCCCAAUACUGGUAGCUUUUAAUUCUGUGCCUCUUCCCUUAAAUUUAAUUUUAAAAUCCCCAAUACUUGUUGCCUCUGGGAUUUGUCUUCUGGGUUAUUUUUAAUGUUUAAAAACAUGUUGGUAUUGUCCAGUUUUUAAUCAGUGACUUAGUAUGAUGUAAUUGCUGUUACACGAAUUUAAAGAGUAGGAGUCCUGCAUGUAUGGGGCAAUGUGUUUGGGUGUGCUGUUGUGAAAUUGAAGCUAUGGUUAAAGUAUUUGUGUUGCUCUGUGGUAAGAACUAGCCCUGUUGCAUCAUGUACAUUACUAAUCAUUUUUCCUCCCUCUUUACAGCACAAAUAAAGGCUUGAGUUCUAAACUCAUAAUUGUUGUAUUGCUAUGUUAUGAUUUCUGACUUUUAUUUUUUGUGUAAAUGAGGUGUUCUUGAUAAUGCAAUUGGUUACAUUACUGUAGAUUUAGACUGAGAUUUGCUCUUCAGUAGUUUUAAAUGAUUGAGGUCGUUUAAUGGAGCUUGGUGAUCUUAAAUAGAACUGGUAGGGCCUGAAUGGCCUGCAGCCUGGUGGAUGGGAAUGGGGGCUCUCCUCCCUGUAGUGUCUAAUGGUUGUGCAAAAUAUGAUACUGAAACCAUCCAGCUGAGGAAGGUCAGUGUCAAGGUACUGGGGGAGUACUUUGUAAUAUCCUUGAACUUUAACUGGUUAGGUUUCCAAACCGUACUGUCGAAAAGGGGGCGUAUCAUUCUCUUUGCUUAGAGGAAACCGUCUAAAGCAUACAGCACAUGUAAUCUGUUUUCCGUAUUUGUGGUUUUGAGGAGGCUGGAGUGUAUCUGGGAUUUGGGUCUAACCACAUAAUUCUCUCCAGUACUAAAGAGUUUGGCUUUAUUGGGUGACCAAGAGUUUGGGCUCAGGUGUCUCUGCCGCGAGAACCAGGUCAAGGUUAUGCAGAGGGCAUGAAUCCCGUUUGCCUCAUGGCUCUUAAGUUGAUCAUGUAUCCUGGGUGGGGAUGUGGCAGUGGCUUCAUCCUGGGAGAGAAGCUCUGCUGCUGCUGCUCAUAGGCGUUUACUCUUCAGCCCUACAGGAGACAAACUGGGCUCAGAAACUGCUGCCAGCCUCUUAAGGCUUUUGUUUUCAAGGGAGCUGAAAGGGAAGCUUGUCUCUGAAGGAAAGGUUAAGAUGUGGAAUGGGGAUGGAUGAGUGCCUUGACCUGAACAAGGGUGUGGGAGAGCCUGGCCUAAGGAAUUCCUUCAAGAGCAUAGCUGUGGGGCCUCAGGAGCCUUUAAUAUCUGCUACUGAAAAACUGGUGCCAGGCAGGAGGAGGUGGCCGGUUGGGGGGGGGGGGGAGGUCAUGGAUCUGCUGUGAGUGGGUGCCACUGCUUGCUCCCCCAGAACAAUUCAGACUUUCCUACGUAGUCCUUCUCUACUUUUUUUACCCAAGCCUUCCAUCCGCCCUGCCCUUUCCAAACUUAUUUUUUAUAUGGUGAUUAUAAAACUUACUUCCAGUCUUAAGGGUAACUGCUAUAAAUGUCUCUCUGAAUGUCACUGUUUCCUAACAACUAUGUUGGGCUGAUAAAGAAUUUCCAUGAGGGUGUAAUGUUUGGUGUGGGCUGAGAGCAGGCAGCUGGGGCUGAGCCCAUGCCUCCUAGCCUCCACCCAAUCCAAGGGCUCCUGAGAUGGUGAAAGAGAUUCCUACCUGUUCUGCACCUGCGCCCAAGUGGGGUGGGUUGCAGGUGUUGAUGGCAGUGUUGGUGAUUUUUGCUAAUCAGUUUGCAGUCACCCUUCUCUGAACUCCCACAGGUAGUGGAUGAUACAAUGAAAUCCAUUAAGUAGAAAAUGGUGAUGUGCAAAUUAAAGGAUUGGGGCAUAAGGACAGCAAAAUGCGCAUUUGGAAGUCCCAUUCAAAAGGAAAAAUAGGGCAGCCCAGGUGGCUCACCGGUUUAGUGCCACUUUUGGCCUGGGGCGUGAUCCUGGAAACCUGGGAUGAGGGUCCCACACCAGGCUCCCUACAUGGAACCUGCUUCUGCCUCUGCCUCUGUCUCUGUGUCUCAUGAAUAAGUAAAAUCUUAAAAAAAAAGAAAGAAAGAAAAAAUAGCCUGAGAGUGAGUAUGGGUGGAGGCUCCUCUAGGAGCCCAGGUUGGACCUAGAACUGCAGAAGUGGCUGGCCCUACAAAAGGCAUCGGACAGUAACGCCCUCCUCCCCCACCAUCAGCUGCCCUUGGUUUGUCUCAUUGACCCUGAACAAUCGCCUUUUAUGCUGAACCCAGCAUCUCUGUGGCUGUCCCUGGAAGAAAUGUUAACUUCUGGUCUUGUACAAUACUUUUAUUGUGUGGUGCUGAUAUUAAAUGAAAUGCGAAACAGGCUUACAGAUUCUUGUAUGUAUUAAGCAUUCGUAUGUAACAAAAAUACGCUGAUGCAGCCUGGAAGUGGCAAGAGGAAGGUAGCAAAACAAUUAGAAAUAAAGCCAUGAAGGUGUAUGUACCCAGGAGUAUGGCCUUGACCUUGCUCUGGUGGGUGUCCCCUGUGGACCCCUCAGCUCUGUACCACCUUCCUUCUCUUUAAUUCUUAACUGAGUUCUGCUGUAUAAAGGUUUAUUGUGGGGUUUACAAGUAAAAUUGGGAAAAACCAAAAUCCUCUGUUAAUAAUUGUUAUUGACAUUUGCGUCUAGAGUUUUUCUUCCUCCUAUGCAUUGAAUAUGCUUUUUUUUUUUUUUAAAUACACUUAAUGUAUAAUGAAACUCUUCCUGUUUGAAGAGCGUUUGGUGGUGACUGUAAUCUAUUGUAUGGCUGUGUCGAUUGAAACAAUCUCAUUUACAUGGCAUAUUUUCCAGGGUUGUUUUUUUCUCUCUUGGGAAGUUGUGAUGACCUGCCCCAAAGCGCACACUUUAUCACAUCUGAUAUGUUUUCUUUGGGAUAUAUUAAUAUAUGAAAUGCCUAUGUCAAACUUAAGACUUUAGGUUCAUUAAUGUGUUAAAUAGCCCUCCCUGGGUGGUAUUUUCUAAAUUAGUUUUCUCACAAUUGAUGUAAACCUGGCUCUGUUUCCCUUCUCCACAGAACAAUCUUGCCAUGUUAAAAACCUUAGAUCCUUGGGUGGAUCCUUGCUGCUUUAUUUACUAGGGCUAUGAGCGUUGCUUUGCUGCUACUAAGACUAAACAUCUGUGUGGAUUGGUCAUUUGUAGUGGUGUGUGUGCAUGCGCGUGCGUGUGCACGCUUCAACUUCCUAUUUUGUGAAAGCACAUAUGAAGGAUAUUAAUAAUCUGAUGCAAAAAAAACUGAUGCAAAUAUUUUUCCUGGUUUCUAGAUUGCCUUUCAUUUUGUUUAUUGCUUUGGACAUACAAAAGUGACAUUGUUCUGAGGUCGUCACUCUUCAGUUUCUAUACUUCGUUGUACUUAGAUUUCUCCCAUCUCAAAGGUAUAUAAAUAUUAAUCUAUAUUAUGACACUUAUGGUUUGAUUUUUUUUUUUUUUACACUUAAACAUAUACCACAGCUGGUGCUUAUUGUGCCUCCUGUGGGCAGGGAGUGGGAGCUAAUGCCCCCUCAGAGCCCCCAGAGCUUGCUCCCCUCCUGGUUCUGGCCCCCCUGGGGCUCCACAAUGGAGUGACAGUCCUGUCAGCCAUGAGGAUUGUUGUCCCAAUGGGACAGUUCACUAGAGAAGACCUUGGGGACAGGCAGGUAUUGUCCCUACCAGAGUCCUGGUUGUCGCUCCUCCAUGACUCCCCAUUCCACCAUCCUGUUUUGGACAUAGCAACCCCCCCACGAGAGAGAGCAUCAAAAGCAGGUACACAAAGAUGGAUCUGGGUUCUACCAGUGUGGUUCCUGGCAGCUUUAUUUGAAUUUGAAUCAGAACUACCUAGCCCCACCCACCAGGCCUGCUUUCCCUCAUCUGUGAGAUGGCAUAAAGGUAUGUGUGUGUUGGGCACUAGCGUUUACAGUGCUACCUUCCUUUAUUGCUGGGCCUCAGGUCCAACCCCUUGGUCCUGGUUCCCUCUCUUGCCCCUUAGGCACCUGCUUCCCUUGCUCUGAGCCUUUUAUGUAAUGACAAUCAGUGUGUAUAUUCUGGUCUUGUUCUGGUUUUGCAUUUAAUUUUGUUUCCAUCCACAUCUCCCUGUAUCAGCAGAGUCCACAAACACUUUGGAAAUCAGUUUUUUUCGGGGUAGUUAAUUCUACAGGAAUGGCAUGGAUGGGCUUCUAGAAGUCUGAAUGCUCAGAAACUGUAUAUUUUUCUGUGAAAAGCAUAAACUUGCCAAAGAGCUCCAGGACCUCAAAAAAGAUCAAACAACUGCAUUAUUUUAUCCCAAAGUACUUAUAGUAUAAGAUAUUUAGUCAAGUCUCUUAAGUUGUAAGCAGUGUUUUGACUAUUUUCGGUCACGCCUCUGUGAGCAUCUCUUUGAAUUUGGCGACUGCAUUAUAUUCCCUGGAGGGGUGUUGCUUGGUCAGUGAGCAUGCAUGGUUUUACAACUUGUAUCAGAGACUCAGAUACUCUCUGGAAAGCUUACAUUUCCUCUUGAGUCUAUCCAUUUCCCUACAUAGUUGCUAAUACCAGAUUUUUUCAAUUUUUAUUGUAACUUUUUAAAAAUGUAAAAUACAUGUAAAAUGUAUCUUCUUAAUCAUUUUUAGUGCACAGUUCAGUAGAGUUCAGUGUUGUGCAACCAAGCUCCAGAAGUUUUUCAUCUUGCAAAACUGAAAUUACAUACCCAGAAAACUCCCCAUUCCCUUAUCCCUUUAGCCCAUGGUAACCGUUAUUGUAUUUUUCUGUUUCUAUGAGUUUGAGGUACCUCAUGUUGAGUAGAAUCCUAAAGCAUUUGCCUUUUUGUGACUGGCUUAUUUUCCUUGGCAUUAGAUCCUCUGGGUUUGUGUUACAGCAUGUGUCAAAAUUUUCAUCCUCCUUAAAAGUUGAAACAAGUGCACCUGGCUGGCGCAGUCAGUACAACAUGUAACUCUUGAUUUCGGUGUCCUGAGUUUGAGCCCCAUCUUGGGUGUAGAGAUCAAGUAAGUGAGUGGAAACAUUCCAUGUUUGUAUGUAACAUUUUAUUUAUCAUCUGUCUGUGAUAAAUGGAUGGCUUCCACCUUUUGGUUAUUAUGAAUAAUGUUGCUAUGAGAGGUGUACAAAAGCCUUUUGAAACCCUGUUUUCAUUUCUUUUGGAGAUACACCCAGAAGUGGGAUUGCUGGAUUAUAUGUAUUUCUAUUUUUAAUUUUUUUGAGGAGCCUCACACUUUUCCAAUAGCAGCUGUGCCACUCUAGAGCCUCAGCAGUUUGCAAGAAUUCCAGUUUUUGAGGAUGCCUGGGUGGCUCAGUGAUUGAGUAUCUGCCUUUGGCUCAAGGCAUGAUCCAGGUCUGGGGAUUGAGUCCCACAUCGGGCUCCUUGCGAGGAACAUGCUUCUCCCUCUGUCUCUGCCUCUCUCUGUGUAUCUCUCACGAAUGAAUAUUAAAUAAAUCUCUUUCAAACAUUUCAGUUUUCCAUAUGAUCACCAACACUUGUUCUCUGUUGUUUGUUUGAAAUAGCAGCCAUCCAACUGGGUGUGAAGUGGCAUCUCAUUGUGGUUUUGAUUUGCAUUAACAUAAUAGUGAUGUUAAGAAGCAUCUUUCCCUAGAAUUGCUGGCCAUUUGUGUCUUGUUUGGAGAAAUAGCUUUUCAAGUCCUUUAUUCGUUUUUAAAACUGGGUUAUUUUUUAUUGCUAUUUGUAGUUCUUCAAAUAUUUUAGAUAUUAACCAUUUAUCAGAUCUGUGAUUUACAAAUAUUUUCUCCCAUUGUAUAGGUUGCCUGUUCAGUCUGUUCAUGGUGUCCUUUGAUGCCCAGAAGUUUUUAAUUCUUGUAGUCCAGGUCAGCUUUUUUUUUUUUUUUUUUAAACCUUUAUUACUGUGCUUUUGGUGUCCUGUCCAAGAAAUCCUUGCCAACUCCAAUGUUCAUGAAGUAUUUGUUGCUACUUUUAAAAGUCCUUUGGUAAUCUUAAUCCGUGUUUUUGAAUUUAUUGGUUAGUCUUUUUUGCCACUUGAUUUACCAUCUGCCUCUUCCUCUGACCACUUACCAUAUGAAAUUCCAUAUUGGUUUUCAUAAUGAUCAUAUACUCUUCACUUUGGAAGAUCAGCUUUUGCCAGUUAUGAUUGUCGAAUUAACUGUUUUUUUUCCUUUUAUUGUUGGUGCAAAAAGUAUCUGUUACAUGAGGACUUUUUAAAACAUUUCGUCUACCAAGUCCAGCGGUAACUACUACUAAGUCUGUUAGGUUUGCUUCUGAUUUACUUUUUCUUUGGUAUCUAAACUCGUCACCAUUUAAGGAGUUAUGAAUCCACCUUAGGAAUGGGUUUAAAUUAUACUUACAACAUUGAAAUGUCAAACUUUUAUUGAGGAACCCCUCUCUUUACUUUGCUCCAGGUCAGUGUUAGUGUCUGAGGAUCAUGUCCCUAAAUCGCUAGAGUUUUUAGCCUCUAGUUUUUGUUGUUUCUAAUCAAAUACAGCAAAUUUUAAUGACUGUCACUGCUUAUUAUGUUUUAAAACCUAAUAAGUGGAGGCUCUGCUACUUCUUAAAGUGCAAAUAUUCACUCCCUGUUGGAACUGAAGUACACAAAACUAGGUUAAUCUUUGGUUGAUGACAUAACAUGGCUCUCUUAUUUGCUUCCUUGAUGUUUUUAAUAAUGUGGUAAGCAUUUCUGAAUCUUCUGUAUAGUAUGAAAACUAGGGCUUUAGGCAGUAGCUUCCUCUACCCAUGUGGUCGUCUUCCCUGCUCUCCCUCUGUUCCCACCACCACCACCCCCAUCUCCCUGCCUCACUCUAGGCCAGCAUAUCUCAUCCUGAAUACAGGGUUUACCAUUACUUGCUUUCUUUUCAUAGAACUAAAAAAAAAAGAAAGAAAAAUCUAAGUGUGUUUUUUAAGGAAGCUGCAGGCAUUCACAGCCCCUCUGGGACAGUACAGCAGAGCAGCUCUACCUCUCUGUGCUAUCUGGGUCUGGGACUCUCUGUUUAGCACAAAGCAAGAAUGGCCUUAACAAGACUCAGUCUACUUCUGCUGUUCUUUCCCCUAAGCAGGUUGAAAAACAAACUAUUCUAGGAUAGCAGUUGUGACAUUUGCAGAAAGCAGCAUUUAAUUAUAUUGUUUGUUUGUCUGGUCUGUUGAAAUCUCAUUGGGCUUCUGUCUAUAGGCAUUUCUAAUCCUAAGUGGAAAAGGAGUGCGCUUCAGUGGCGCACAGUCCAUUCCCUCUCCUGCUGUCCCGCUCAGCACCAGCUUGGCUGAUUUAAGUACCUGCUGCCUCUCAGACUCCACCAAGUGCCAAGAGCACAGGUGUGAACCCGGCUCUGUCUCUUACUCACCUAAUAGCGUCACAGAACGCUUAACAUUGGGAACCCUGAGAUUGGUUCUGACACCUCUGUUGAUGUAAUAGCUGUGUGACCAGCUGUCUGGGUGUCAGAGCAAGGCCCUGCCUCUGCCCUAUGCUGACCUGACAGCAAGGCUCUGCUAGUUUUUUUCUAGUUCAUUUAAAGGUGUAAAAAUGUUCAAAGUGUAAUAGCUGCAGAUGUUAAAAAUUGCCUCGGUUCCUAUAGAGGCAACUAUUGUGGCCAGUUGCUGGAGUUUUUCUGGAGAAUCCUGUGUAUAUAUUUCACUGUGGAGGUCCUGGUACACCACACACCCCGUCAUGCACUUUGAAUUGUUAAGUUAAUGGUACAUCAAGGUGCUCACUGCAUCUUUUUUUUAUGGUCUCCCUUGGGCUUUUCCACAUCUGUGUCAUAGUCCAUGUUUGAAUUACUCAUUUCCCUUUUGGGGAACAAUUUGUUUCUAGCAGCCUUUAUUGUAUAGGAGGCUAUACUGAAUAUCCGCCUACAUGGUUCUUUGUAUGUGAGAAGUGACAAUAGUAUUUCACUGUAGUUUUGACUUCUUUUGGGCUGUGGGCUUAUGGAUUUUCAAAGAGCUCUUUAUAUACUGAAGAAAUUAACCCUUUGUGAUUUGUGCUACAAAUACUUUCCUGUUAUUGAUCUUGAUUGUACAUUUCAUGCUAAAAUUUUGCUGGUCAGGAUUUUAACCUUACUUAUUUUUUAUCACUGUUUUCUUUUAUGGCUUCCGGGUUUUAAGACUCAAGUUGGAACGUACCCCCCUUAAAGAUGGGCACACCUCAACCUUCCCCAACCCACCAGCAGCACAGGUUCCCCCAGCCCAGCCCUUGGCUGUUUUGGGUUUUAUCUUUGCUAAUAGGAAAAUCCAGCUUCCCUGUGUUUCAGUUUGCAAACCUUUUGAUCCUGUGAAGCUGAAUGAACACUUUGUUGGCUGAUGUGUGUGUUGCUUUGUGUUUCACUUACAUUUUCACUUCCAGAGAAUUCUUUACCCUUUGCCCUUGUAUACUGCAUUUACCCUUGUAUAUAACAAAACAGUUUUCAAGUUUAUAGUUGCUUUUCUUUUUUCUUUGAGUAUAGGGGACACACCACGUGGCACUGGUUUCAGAUUGUAGUUUGCCUUUAAAUUUACAUGUCGGAGGGGUGCCUGGGUGGCUCAGCAGUUUGAGCAUCUACCUUCAGCUCAAGGUGUAUGUAAUCUCAUGGUCCCGGGAUCGAGUCCCGCAUUGGGCUCCCUGCAUGGAGCUUGAUUCGGUCUCUGUCUCUCAUAAAUGAAUCUUUAAAAAAAAUAUUUUUAAAAAUAAAUUUACAUGUUGGAUCCUGCUGAUGUAAGUUUUAAGUUUGGUCAUCAAAUCUCUUACUGUUAUGGUUUCAUACUUUGAUAUUAUGCUAUAUUUUCCACUGGUUUCUUUGUGCUUUAGUUUUUUGACAUUUGACAUAUUUAUGGCUCUUUAACCUAUCUAGAAGUUUUUUGGGUGUUUGUAUAGUAGGAGGUAAGAAUCUUAAUUAUUUCAAGAUGGCUAGCUGAUUUUCUAAGUACCACUUCCUGAAUAAUGCUUUCUCUGCUAAUCUGAAAUGGUGUGCACUUGUAAGUUAUGGACUAAAUACUUCAAUAUAAUUGAGUCUAUUUCUGAACUUUCUAGUCUUCCACCAAUUUGUCUUUCCUCUGCUACCAGUGUUUCAUUUUGUUAGCUUCAUUGUAUCUGAUUAUAAUGUGUGUUAAUACAAGCCUCUGGCAUUCCUUUUUAAGGUAUUCUGAUUUUUACUGGAAUUGCAUUACAUUUAUCAAUAUAUUAUGAUAUUGAGACUUUGCAUUUAGGAACUGGCCUCCCUGUUCAGGAUAGGAUGACUUUUAUGUCCAUCAGGAAUUUCAGACUUCAUGUGCAAGUUAGGUGCAUUUAUGAAGUUUGCUUCUAGAAAUGUUAUAUUCAGUGUUGUGCUUAGAGCUAUUUUUCCUAUCAAAAUUUCUGAUGAUGGUACCAUGUGUUUAAGACUUUGUUUUGUUUAUAUACUUUCUUAAAUUAUUCAUGAGAGGCACAGGCAGAGGGAAAAGCAGGCUCCUUGCAAGCAGCGUGAUGCAGACCUUGAUCCCAGAUCCUGGGAUCAUGCUCUGAGCAGAAGGCAGACACUCAACCGCUGAGCCACCCAGACAUCCCAGCAGAUAUUUAAAUGUCAACAUUUGCAUAUUUAUUUUAACAGGUAUUCAAAAAUUGGUGAUAAUUACAUAUUUCCUCUUAAAAAUAUUUUUUUCUCUUAAUUGAAAUAUCCCACACAUACUAUAAAAUUCAGGCUUUUGAAGUAUAUAAUUCAGUGGUUUUUAGUAUAUUUACUGUGUUUGCAACCAUCACUACUAUCCAUUUCCAGAAUUUUUCCAUCUUCCCAAACAGAUGUCUGGUACUUAUCAAACAGUAACUUCCCAUCCUGCCUUCCCGCUGGUCCCUGGUAACCUUUAUUCUAGUCUCUAUCUCUAUAAAUUUGCCUGUUCUUGGUCCCCAUUCUAGGUACCUCAUGUAAGUGAAAUCCUAAGGUAUUUGUCUCCAUCUUUGUUCAGUUAGCAUAAUGUUUUCAAGGUUCAUUCAUGCCAGGGCGCAUAACAGUUCCUUUGUGAGGCUGAAUAAUAGCUCAUCGUGUGGCUAGACCACAUUUUGUUUAUCCAGUCAGCAGUUGGACAUUUGGGUUAUUUCCACAUUUUGUGGGAUUAUGAAUAAUGCUGCUAUGAACUUUUUAUGUGAACAUGUUUAAAUUGUCUUCGGUAUGUACCUAGGAGUGGGACUGCUUGCUGGGUCAAAUGAUAACUUUAACUUUUUGAGGAACUGCCAAACUGUUCUCCAGUGUAGCUGCACAUUUUACAUUCCUGCCAGUAACUUUUGAGAGUUCCAGUUUCUCCACAUCUUCAACACUUGUUCUUAUCUGUCUUUUUUUGUGGUUUUUAUGUAAGCUCUAAGCCCAUUGUGGGGCUUGACCUCAUGACCCAGAGUCGCAUACUCUUCCAACUGAGCCAGCGAGGCACCCCUCUGGCUUUUCAAUUGUAACCAUCCUAAUUAGUGUGAAGGAGUAUCUCAUGUAAUUUUGAUUUGCUUUUUUCUGAUGACUAAUGACAUGAAACACCUUUUCAUGUGCUUGUUGACCCUGUGUAGAUCUUUGGAGGAGUAUCUACUGAUCCAUUUGUUCCCUUUUUAUUGGGUGUUUAUCUUAUUGAAUUGUAAAAUUCUUUGCAUAUUUGGGAUACUAGACCCCAAUCAGAUGAUUUGCAAAUAGGUUUUUCCCUUCUGGGGGUUAUGUUUCUACUUUCUUGGUAGUGUUCUUUGACAUAAAUUUAUUUUUUAUUUUAUUUAUUUAUUUAUUUUAUUUUAUUUUAAAGUAACUUGAUUAAGGGGAAAAAAUAGGACUGGCCAUAUUCAGAUGUGGCAAAAAAUCUCCAGGUAUUGUGUGAAUGAUUGAUGUUUGGGAGCAGAGAAUAGAGUGUGACCCAAUCCUGUAGUGUGAUGUGGGAUUACUUACUCUGGUGUGACCUUUCACAUACAGUGUCCCCAAAUGUCGCCUGGUACUUGUGUUGGGAUCAUCUGUCAGUUUUGUUUUGUCUUUUAAGUCUGUAAUAGAUAUGGAAUUUAUUCAACUGUCUUUCCUGCAUCUUUUUAGAUGAGCAUCCAGUUUUUCUCUCACUUUCUCAUGAUUAAUUGCAUCAUGGAAUAUUAAGCCUUCCUAGGAUUUCUGAGACAAACCAUUCCAGGCCUGGAACUUUAUUCUGUCACCACAGAAAUGAAUCAGAAGGUCCACUGCAACUUAAGGGUGCUGUCAGGUAGGUGUUGGUAUCAGGAUGUUCAGAGAGGCAUAGACACCAUUAAGAGUGGUGGCUAAAAAAAAAAAAUGAGUGGUGGCUAAUGGGACGCCUGGGUGGCUCAGUGGUUGAGCAUCUGCCUUCAGCCCAGGGCAUGAUCCUGGGGUCAUGGGAUCAAGUCCCACAUCCGGGACUUGCAUGGAGCCUGCUUCUCUCUCUGCCUGUGUCUCUGUGUCUCUCAUGAAUAAACAAAUUAAAUCUUUUAAAACAAAAAAGAACGGUAGCUAAGAGCAAGCUUUGAGCUGGACCACUGGGUUUCUGGUCCCUGCAUUGCCACUUAUUAGCACAUGACUUUGGCAAAUUUCUUAAAUCCUUGAAGCCAGUUUCCUCAAUAAGAUGGGGACAAAAAUAGAGCUAGAACAUAAGUUGUGGUUUGUGUAAAGCUGGAAUGAGGUUGUGUGGCCCAGGUGCUGGGAGUGAGGGGUGCUGCUGUCACUUGUCCUCUACAGGGCAGACUGAGCGAGUUCCCCCUUCACCCAGAACAGUGUUCUGUAACACCACCUGGGGCUAUCCCUUCUCUUUGGAGAUUCGGUGAUCUCUAAAAACUUUCAGAUUCUUCUGAGUUACAUGCUAGUCCAUAUUUCAUUAUAAGUCAGUUUUUCAAAAUUAAAUUUUCUAAGAAAAUUGCCAUUCUCAUAGGUAUUAGUGGAGAGCAUUUUUUAAAAAGAUUUAUUUAUUCAUUAGACACACAGAGCAAGGGGGGGCCGUGCAGAGACACAGGCAGAGGGAGAAGCAGGUUCCAUGCAGGAAGCCCGAUGUGGGUCUCAGAUCCCAGGCCCCCAGGAUCACACCCCGGGCUGAAGGUGGCACUAAACCACUGAGCCACCCGGAUUGCCCCACAUUUUUUUAAUUAUUUUUGGCAUUUUAAUAUUUUUAUCAAGAAUUUCCACUUUUUAUACCUGGAUUUUAUCUGAAACAGACUUUCAAGAAGCAGAUUUAGAUAGAAUAAGCAGUUCUGCUCUCAUGUUGUAAUUUAUCAGUUCUUCAGCUUUGCUUGGACAUUGUUUUGUUACACUUUUUUUUUUUUUUUUUUUUGAGUCUUGCAUUGCAUGCCGAAUUUCAGGCAACGUACAGUAAUGGAUGGAGGCUGUGGCAGGAAGCAGUCAUUCCUGCUCCAGUCAGGCCACCACCCGCUGUGAUUGUGGACAAGGGCCUCAGAUACCAGGGUGUGGACUCUUUCUAAGGGAGACUACUGAUACCACCUCAGAGGCUGUACAGGUGCCAGUGUAUUUGGUACUUGGAGAUUCCAGGCGGCACAGGCCACCCCUGCUGUGGAGCACUUGAUGUUGGCAGUGCCAAUGGGAACCUACACCCUACCCUGUCCCCAACCUGUCUUCUCCUUUGCAUUUGAAUGAAGUGCCUGUGUGUUGGAAUUUUCAGCUGGUGAAUUUUGAAACUAUUUUUACAUCUCUUUUCUGUUUCCUGCUCAUAUACGUGUUUAUCUCACAGUUGUGAUUGGGAGUUAUUUUGCUUCUUUCGCUUCAGCCUCUGUUACGGGCACAGUUCCCCAUGCUGAAAUAAUCCACCUGUUCUAGUUGAGGCCUGCGGAGGGGGGCAUUCCAGGUUGUGAGCCUGCCCCUGUCCACUUGUAUUUUGUGGCUAUAAAUUACAGGGUCACAGACAUCUUUGGGCAAAUUCGACCUCAAGGCUGCUUUUUGUGUGUAUUUCCCACCGGCCCAAGGGAAGGGGCAGGCAGUUGCCUGGUUCUCUGCUUACUGCUGUGUCCUCUAGGUGGUUCGAAAGGGCCAAUUAUGUGUUCUAUUUACCCUGCCAACAGUUUUUGACUCUGAGUGUGUCAUUUUAACAUUUGCCAGCAUCAUGUUUCCCUGUGUAGACCACUCUGGGUUUUCAAGUACAUAUCUCGAGCGUUUUGUCACUAACAUGUUGAAUUCAUUCUU